rnacentral:rRNA from 1 species
CUACGGGCCGCUGCAGCGAGGGAUAUUGCACAAUGGGGGGAACCCUGAUGCAGCAACGCCGCGUGGAGGAUGACGCAUUUCGGUGUGUAAACUCCUUUUAUAUGUCAAGAAAAUGACGGUAGCAUAUGAAUAAGCACCGGCUAACUCCGUGCCAGCAGCCGCGGUAAUACGGAGGGUGCAAGCGUUACUCGGAAUCACUGGGCGUAAAGGACGCGUAGGCGGGUUGGAAAGUCAGGUGUGAAAUCCUACAGCUUAACUGUAGAACUGCACUUGAAACUUCUAAUCUAGAGUAUGGGAGGGGGAGAUGGAAUUAGUGGUGUAGGGGUAAAAUCCGUAGAUAUCACUAGGAAUACCUAAAGCGAAGGCGAUCUCCUGGAACAUUACUGACGCUAAGGCGUGAAAGCGUGGGGAGCAAACAGGAUUAGAUACCCCAGUAGUC